CGGAAAAUGGCCCAGGACUAUGCAAAGACUCCCAGGACACCUCUGCCCGCCCUCCGCCCCAGCCGCGACCUCCUUGGCAUGGAUCUAAGUGGCUCCCUGUUACCUGUAUGUUGGCAGCUGAAUCAUCAGUAUGGACUGGGCCUUACUUCUUGGCUCUUCCUCCUUUGGAGUUGAGUGAUAUCCUUAAGAGGCAUCUGCAAAAAUCAAAUAGAGAACUGAAGCCAAGCUCCGCACAGGUUCUUCUAUUUGGAGUUGAAUCCAGUCUGUCUUCUCCAUGGCAAGACUUCAUCAGAGCGGUUUCUAGCCUUCUGUCUCUUGGUUAUCAUGGACUCGGGGCGUUGACGGGGAAGCCUCAGCACGUUGACCCAGAAGCCUGCUCAUCAGUCCCCAGGAUGCAAGACUCUCACAAGCCCUUUGUUGGAAGGAAGUUCGAUGGCAACUUCUUCCCAGCCAGGCUCACAACCUUCAACUUCUCUCUAUGAGGGCUCUUGGGAGUUAGCAGUCCCUCCAGACCUGGUCCAACGACCCCCACCUUGAAUAAAUGAUCUGCCUGGCUGUGCUUUAACAAGUAUUACUG
ensembl:lncRNA